AAGGUUUUAAGUUAAGCAUAAACUAAUAGCCUUCAAAGCUGAAAUUACAAACCUUCAUUGUAAACCUUA
rnacentral:tRNA from 1 species